UUGGAAAAAGCCAAAUCUACCGUGAGGUAGAGACGGAAAGCCACGGAACUUAAAAACGGUAGAUGGUGGCUGGUAAUUAGUAAAAUAGCUAAUUACUAAUUACUAUUUGCUGUUUUAAAGUCAGCCGGGUUGCCGAAG
rnacentral:ncRNA from 1 species